AUGGGCGGUGGCGGUCUCCAUGCUGCGGGGUCGGCUCGAAGUUCCUGCAGUGGGCAUGGUGGUCUUCCUAGGCGACGACGUCGGCAGGGCCGCCGGGGCAUGGGUCGGAGCGGAGGACCUCGAGCGUCCAUGGCGGCCUCCCUGCAACAGAGAGCAAGAGAGAUAGAGGGAGAUGAGAGUAAACUGGGAAAAGAGAAUAAGGGAAGAGGGAGAUGGCGGGGAAAGGAAUGCAGGGGGACGACGGGGGCCCGCUCGGUGGCUUCGGUCAUCGGCGGAAGAAGGAGCUCAGGGACUAGGUGGUUGUGCUCGGGAGCAGCAGAUCGAGCAGGAGAAAGGAGGGGAUAG
rnacentral:rRNA from 1 species